GGGUGAGUAACACGUGGGUAACCUGCCCAAGAGACUGGGAUAACACCUGGAAACAGAUGCUAAUACCGGAUAACAACACUAGACGCAUGUCUAGAGUUUGAAAGAUGGUUCUGCUAUCACUCUUGGAUGGACCUGCGGUGCAUUAGCUAGUUGGUAAGGUAACGGCUUACCAAGGCAAUGAUGCAUAGCCGAGUUGAGAGACUGAUCGGCCACAUUGGGACUGAGACACGGCCCAAACUCCUACGGGAGGCAGCAGUAGGGAAUCUUCCACAAUGGACGAAAGUCUGAUGGAGCAACGCCGCGUGAGUGAAGAAGGGUUUCGGCUCGUAAAGCUCUGUUGGUAGUGAAGAAAGAUAGAGGUAGUAACUGGCCUUUAUUUGACGGUAAUUACUUAGAAAGUCACGGCUAACUACGUGCCAGCAGCCGCGGUAAUACGUAGGUGGCAAGCGUUGUCCGGAUUUAUUGGGCGUAAAGCGAGUGCAGGCGGUUCAAUAAGUCUGAUGUGAAAGCCUUCGGCUCAACCGGAGAAUUGCAUCAGAAACUGUUGAACUUGAGUGCAGAAGAGGAGAGUGGAACUCCAUGUGUAGCGGUGGAAUGCGUAGAUAUAUGGAAGAACACCAGUGGCGAAGGCGGCUCUCUGGUCUGCAACUGACGCUGAGGCUCGAAAGCAUGGGUAGCGAACAGGAUUAGAUACCCUGGUAGUCCAUGCCGUAAACGAU
rnacentral:rRNA from 1 species